rnacentral:rRNA from 1 species
GACGAACGCUGGCGGCGUGCUUAACACAUGCAAGUCGAACGGAAAGGCCCUGCUUUUGUGGGGUGCUCGAGUGGCGAACGGGUGAGUAACACGUGAGUAACCUGCCCUUGACUUUGGGAUAACUUCAGGAAACUGGGGCUAAUACCGGAUAGGAGCUCCUGCUGCAUGGUGGGGGUUGGAAAGUUUCGGCGGUUGGGGAUGGACUCGCGGCUUAUCAGCUUGUUGGUGGGGUAGUGGCUUACCAAGGCUUUGACGGGUAGCCGGCCGGAGAGGGUGACCGGCCAGACUGGGAGGGAGGGAGGGUCGAGACUCCUACGGGAGGCAGGAGUGGGGGAGAUUGGACAAUGGGCGCAGGCCGGAUCCAGCGAUAUCGCGUGGGUGAAGAAGGCCUUCGGGGUGGAAAGCCCUGUUGUUGGGAAAGAAAAGCAGCAGGUUAAUACCCCGCUGUCCUGACGGUACCCAAAGAAUAAGCACCGGCUAACUUCGUG